rnacentral:rRNA from 1 species
UACGUAGGGUGCGAGCGUUAAUCGGAAUUACUGGGCGUAAAGCGUGCGCAGGCGGUUCGUUGUGUCGGCGGUGAAAGCCCUGGGCUUAACCUGGGAAUGGCCGUCGAAACUGGCGAACUGGAGUGUGGCAGAGGGGGGUGGAAUUCCGCGUGUAGCAGUGAAAUGCGUAGAGAUGCGGAGGAACACCGAUGGCGAAGGCAGCCCCCUGGGCUGACACUGACGCCUCAGGCACGAAAGCGUGGGGAGCAAACAGG